rnacentral:rRNA from 1 species
CGUGAAGGAUGAAGGCCUUCUGGGUUGUAAACUUCUUUUAUGAGGGAAGAAACCCCUAUUUUCUAAUAGGGUUGACGGUACCUUAGGAAUAAGCACCGGCUAACUCCGUGC